CUGUCAGUCAGGACCCGCUCGCUGCUGAGCUGGGUGUGCUUGGGGGGGCUCUGCUGGGGUCCGGCCACCAAAGCCAUUUGCACCUUGGAGGCAGCCUCUCCCAAAUGCCUGCAAGGGGCUGGAAAGACAAGCAGCAGCAUCCAGCACCGAGUAGAAACAAGCCCGCAUAAAUCCAUGUCAUCACUGAUGUCCUUGGGAAGUCCCCACCCAACCUGCUGUGCCUGGUUUCCUAUCAGAUGUUCCCUCACGGAGAUCUCUGGGUGUGUUGGGGCUCUUGUUGCCCACUGGCAAGAAAAGGUACAGAGCCUGUGAUGAGGAACCUCCAGGGAGUCCAAUACAUACGGGCACGGGCAUUGACUGGACGGGGAGAGCAGCACACCAGUAACUUUCCAUCGUAACUGCAGAGGUUAAAGCCCUGCCUGCAUGGCAGUUACCUUUUCCAUUAUUAUUCCACUAAAAAACAACCCUGUUUAACACCAAUGAAGUUGGAAAUGUAUUAAUAAAUGCCAUAAAGAGAGAGCAGGAGGAGGGAGGUGCGAGUGCCCCACCACAGUGCCAGCGUUCCCCGGCGCUCACAGUGUUUCUGUCUCCAGAUUUACCCCUUCUGCUGUCUGAUUAAUUUAUAUGCACAAAUAAUUCUUCUUCCCCAAGCUACCUCUGAUUUUGUAGGUGUGGUAUAUUUUGUUUGCAAAUAAUUCCCAAUGGUACUUGCACAUUUACUCAUUUUACGGGCUUCUGGCCUGAUUUAUGACUAUCACAAAGUGGGGAAGAUCCUUCAACUUGUUCAUCCAUUCUUGCAACAAGCUGCAGUCUCAGCCUUCUAAAAGCUGGCAGAAGAGAUGUACAAACAGAGGGUAUGAAACAAGAUAGAGGUCCUGUGAAACAGUAAAAAACCCUGUCCUAUAAACCUGUCCAAUUUAACAAAAAUAAACAAAAAAUAGCCUCAAAUCUUCCCACAGUGUUGUGGCUCUAAGUGAUACAAUAAUUCUUUUUAGUUCUGCGUAAAACUAAAGGAGUUCAUGUACAUUCAUAAAUUACUUCAAAGGGGAUGAGAGGUUAAAUAUUAACCCCUCUUUUUUUCGCCAGCAAACUGAGCCCUGACAGUGCAGUGCUGGCAUUUCAAAAGGCUUCCAAGUUUUCAGAUGCUCAACUCCAUGCAAGUAGAUGACCUGGCUCACUUCAAAAAUCACACCCUGAUAAUUUAGUCAAGGUUAAACAUGAUCUCAGUGAGAUACUAAAAAUAGUAUCUUGCUGUUUCCUUUGGAUGUUUAAGUAUCUGGUGCACUCCUCACUCGCUGAUGCUGUGGUGACCAAAAACCUGUCCGGUAGCAUCGUGCAAAACAAUAGAAAUUGAACCUUCUCCUGUGCAAGUAGAGAAAAUCAGGGAGAACGGGCAGAAAAUCCCCAAAACACCCAGACCACCCUGCAGUACAGUCCCAGCCUUAACAGAAAAGCAAGGAUAAAGGAACGAACCUCCGGUAAAAAUCUUAUAUCCUGAUCAUAGUGGCAGUUCGGGAGACGAGAAGGGGGUUGCGUUCAAGCAAGCCUUUUCCUCUCCCCUCAUCCUGACGUUAAUGUUUUUUUUACUUGUAAUUAUUGAUACCAGAAAUGUAAUUGGGAUAGGAGUGUUUCUGAAUGAGCUAAUUUCUAGGAAAUCUGGGGACUGGACUUUCCACAAGGCUCAGGUCUUGGCCCUUUCUUGCUCUCGCUGGUGCCAUCUCGAUCUCGCUGGAUUCCAUCUCAAUGCUCAAGCCUGGAGAUGCUGGGCUCAUGUGUGGGACCGUCCUGGUCCUUUCCGAAAGCAGGAUCACAUUCCCAGCGUACAAACACGACAAUCUAACAGACCCUACUGAUAUUUUCUCAACAGCCUCUGCCCAGCUGCCCCAAGCCCAUAGUGACCCUAUAGCCCAUGUUAUAUAUAUAUAUAGCACCGUGCUCCCGGGACCAGCAGUGCUGAGGCCCUCAGCCCUGCCCCAACGGACAGCCGGUGUAAAGCUCGGGUAUUUGCAUCAUGUGGCUUUUUUUAAGGCAGAAAUUUCCCUUCUACCAGGCCAGAUAAUACAGCGCCUCUCAACCUCUUAUGCGCUGGAGUCAUUUCCAAUGGGGGAAAAAGAGAGAAAGAAAUAUCCAAGUGUGUCAUGUCACAUCUUACAACACAGGAAUAUUGGAAAAAAAAAAAAAAAUCCCCCUGGAUGCAAAAUUCCAGUUUAUCAGUUAGUUUUGCUGGGGAACAGCAAGUUUUCUGAUAUUGUGUACGCACCCAUGGAGCAGUGGGGCAGUGGGGCGCUGGCAGUGGGGACUGUGGGAGGGUGCCACAACCCUGCUAACCCCACCCCAGGUGUAUCGUCACAGACAG